CCCAAGGUCCCUGCCAGGAAGGGCAUCAGAGAGCUCAGUGUGCUCUGCUGUCCCGUGGAUCACUCCAAGCUGUCACUGACCUCCAGGAAGGAAGAAGGAGGGGUUCCAUGAGGAGUCUCCAUGCAGGUCGUGACAGUGCGGUCCAUGGUUGAAUGGCAUCAAGUUGAGCUCCUGAUCUCUCUUGGGUGGGCUCCUGGCUCUGGAUGGCUGUGGAUCAUCAGGCAGCUGCUCAUCAGUCCGGCUGGAUGAGAACGUGGUGUGUAUCAGUCAGGAUGUAUUUGGUGGUCGGCAACAAAAAGCUCAACUCAACUAGCUUAACCCUAAAGAAGAUUAGUUUGUCCCAUGUAGCAAGAAGUCCAGAGGUAGGCUGGCUCCGAGACUGACUAAAUUCAACAGCUCAGCGAUGUCACUAAGGACUCAGGGUCGUCCCCCUGCCCCCCUGGCCUGUCCCCCCACUGCCAAACACCAUCAUUUCAGUGUUGGUCUCACACUCUGGCUUUCCUCACAGUCACAGAGUGGCUGCUGCAGAUCUGGGCAUCGUAUCCCUACUGAGUAAAGUCCAGAUGUGCACCUGAACCAUCACUUUCCUGCAUCUCUGAGAUAUGAGGACCACUUUCCCAGAAGCUGCUAACCUGACAUCCCUCCCACCUCAUUGGUCCAAAUCGGACGACAGACUGAUUCCUGAACCAAUCACCAAUAAGAGGGGGAAGGAAUACCUGGUUGGCUGUUGGGCUAUCAGCUGCCAUCACCACUAAGGAGAGGCUGGCUUUGAAACCCUGCUGCCAUUGCCCUUCAAUUUCUCCACUCAUCUCUGGAUCCAGCAAGAGCCUUCCUGCCCCUCAAGACCCUCAUGAGUUUCCAGUCCAGCAGCAAAGAAAACAGGGAAGAGUGCCCUGGGGAGCGAGAACGGCGUACGCAAAGGCUGUGUGGCGAAGAGUGCAUGAAGCCUUUGGCCGGCAGCACAGGUCAAACCCCAGCUCAGAGGAGACGAGAGGCCCAGCCAGUUCCAAGGCCUCCCCAGAGGAAACCUCGCCCACAGAUCCGCAGGAAG